UUUUUUUUUUCCCUUUUCUUUUUUUUUUUUUUUUCCCAAAACCAGUGUCAACUCUGCUUUUACUUAGCAGUGGGCUGGAUAAAAAUAGACGGUGAAGUCAUGACGCCUUCGGAAGAAGCAGGUAUGGCCUGGGGAGAGGGGGUGAGAGGAGACAGGCUUUGGGGACAGGGACAAAAUCCAGCAGGAUGCAGGCAGGCAUGGCCUGUCCCUGGAGAGCUGCUGGUUAGCCCAGAGCCUUGUGAUUUCCCUGGCACGUUGCUGGGAGGGGCAGAAGCCUCUUUGGUGGAUGCUCCAGAGUUCACUGCCGGGGAUGGGGCUGCAGCCCAGAGAGCACCAGGAGAUCAGCUCAGUGCAAAGCCCAGGCACUCGGAGCUGGAGGCACUCUGGGAAGCAAUGGGAAGCAGCAGGGGAUGGAAACCAAAGGGUUGAGCUCCUGCUUUCUCCAAGACCAUAUUGCUGCUGCCUUCUCUCAGUUUUCUGCUCAGAUCUGUCUGUUCCUCCUGUUUGAUCACCUUGCCAGGCUGAGAGCACGCUGGGCUCCUUGGAAGGAGUGUGCCUGGCAGAGACUUUGAUGUCUCCUGCUCAGGGCAGGGGCCCUGGAAGCCACUUGGACACCAGGAGAUGCAGCUGGUGCCCAUAUUUUGGUUCUGCUGGUGGGAUCUCCUGUGGCAAAAUCUUCCUGGGGCUGCAUAUGCAGAGCUGGGGCACGUCCUGAGCUCAGCCAGGGCUGGGAUGGCUGCAAGUAAAGAACCUCUGGGGCAGAGUCUCUGCUAUUUCUGCACCACAGGACAAAUCAGGGAUGUGAAGGCAACUUUCCAGCCACACAAAUGGAUGUGAGAGCCCAGGACACACCACAGAAAUGCUGAGUCCCUCUGUAGGCCUGGUUUGUCUUGGGUGUGUCUUGGUUGAGUGCUGAAUACCCCAAAUCUCGGAGUGUGGUGUUCCCUCUGUCACCACACAGCUCCUGUGCUGUCCUGCCAAAGCCACUGCCCCAGCUUUGGACCUUUCCAACCAAGCACCUGCUUAGGUCACGACUGAAAUGAGUUUGGCUGGCCCCAGCACGCCCUUCCACAGGUAUUUCUGCACAUGCUUGGAAGCACCAUGGAAGCUGCAAGGAGAUGCCAAUUUUACAUAGUAAAAAGCUGCUGCCCAGCAGGAGCACUGGGCCCUGCCAGCACCAGGGGAGAUGGAGCUUCAGGUUUUAUAAUUUCAGGAUAUAAUGUGAGGGGUUUUUUUUUUACCAUUUUUCUUAACCAAAUUCAAACUUGCAAGGGAAAAAAAAAAUAUUUCUGUGGAAACUUUAGCCUUGCUGCACAAGGAACCUUCUAUCAACAAGAAAAUUCACAUUAUAGGGAAAAAACCAUGUCCUUUGCUCUUCCACCUGCUCCUGAGGCAUGGUUUCUGUGCAGCAGGAGGCUGGAGAGGCGUGAGGGGAAUAUCUGCAUUUCUCUGGGAUCAGUCCCUGGAAGCAGCACUGUCGCUGGAACAACGGGCUCAGCCCGGGCCGCUGCAGCGCUCCCGGGUUUAUUUUUGUCCGGGUUUGGAGCGGGGGUGGCAGAGAUCAGGUGGCAGUGCCCGAGGAGCGCCUGGCAUCGCCCGUCCUGCCGCCGUGGGAGCGCGUGUCGGUGGGAGCAGGGAGCAGGCAGGGAUGGGGAGCAGGGAGCAGGCAGGGGUGGGGAGCGGGGCUGCUCCUCCUCCCCAAAUCCUUCCUCUUGGAUCAGCCUGCCCUGGGGAUGCUCUGGCAGUGUGGGAACCACGGAUGCUCCCACUUGAGCUGGCUCAGAGCUUUGCAGUCCAGCCUGGGGAAUCAAAGCAGUGGCUGUGCUUUGGUACUGGGAUUAGGAGCUGGAAACCAGUUUCUGGUAGGAUUGAGUCAUGGGCAUACCACGGAGACACAGAAAGGAGCCAGGGAAGCCCAGCUCCCCAAGAACCACUGCAAUGUUUCCAUCUCUGACCUUGCCUCUUUUGCCAUAUGGGUUCCACACCGGGUUGUGUUUGAGCAGUACCAGAGAGCCCAGUUGAUUCCUGGUGUCCCCAUGCUGUCCCAGAAGAACAGCCAGCCUGGCAGGUGUGGCUGUGAUAAAAUUUGACUAAUUUGGCAAGCUAAUAAAAGUCAACAUCCUGGGCCACACAGGAACACAUUCCCAACAAGAAUCCAUCCUGGAUCCAUCCCCAGCCUCAGCAGAGGUGAGUGUGGCACUGCCAGAGGGUUCAGCCCCUUCUUUCUCCAUCACCUGAAAACAAUCUGCAGCACUGGAGAGUUUUAUUUCCCAAGGGGCUGAGAAAAGAGAGGAGCCUGGAGUUAAUCAAAUUCUGGGAAGCGUGUGGGAGCAGCCGUGACUGGAAGAACUCACAGGGUCUGUGCUGGAGAGGGAGCAGAGCUGCACUGGGGUCUGGGGCAGGGGGCUCAGAGGAUGGGGUCUGUUCAGAGAGUGGCACUGUAGAAACACAGGAGCAGGAGAUCAAUUUCUCAGGUAUGGGAUGAGGGACCAGGGUGCUGUGCCCCAUCUGGGGUGCAGGUAUGUGUGGCAUCACAUGUGAUCACUGUUGAGAGGCCUGAGCAACAUCACACAGCCCAGAGUGCUGUGACUCAACACACAAGUCCAACCUGACCUCAGCAGAAGCCAAGUGCUCUGUGGCAGAGUCUGGGCCUCUCCCUGAGCCCGGGGCUAUUCCAGCUGUGCUCUGGGAGCCCCACACUGCAAACAGCCCCUCCAUUGCAGACCAUCCUGCAAAGAAUCCCCUUUUAUAUAAAUCCCAGCACAUGAUGCCAGAGUGGAAGGAGCCUCCCCUGCCCCAGCAGGUCAUUUCAGGCUUGGCUGAGCUUCUUUCCUCUUGAGGGGAUGUUUGCCAGCAUCUCGGAAAUGGCCCUGGUGGAUCUGCAGCCCCAGCACAGCCCUGUCAGUGGAGGACCUGCCCUCUGCAGCUCGGAGCAGCAAAUCCCUCCUGCAGCAGGGUGAGGAUGGAUGAUGUGGGAGCACGUGGAAAUCUGGCAAUGGAUGAUGCAUUGGGCCUAACUCAGCUUCCAAGGGUCAGACCCCGUUGGUGCCUCCCAGCUGUGUCUCCCUGGAUCCCUGGGAGUGUCUGGACAGCUCUGAUGUUGAGAUCAAAGAGCCUGUGCUCAUCCACAGGGCUGGAAACACGCGGUGGAAGGGAUGCAGGCACAAAGCACCGCCCUCUUCUGCACUCUCAGCACAGCCCUUACCUUGCUGUGUGGACAAAGGACACACACACACAAGAGCACUAAAGCUGUUGGUGUCACCUGUCUUGUUUUCCUGAGGGGGAACACUUCCAGACUGCUCUGCUGGGUGAUAUUCUGCAGACAUUUAACAGGAGCUAAAUCCAGCUGGGAUUUGUAGCGAGGUCUGAUGCAUCCCCCACUCUCUGGACUGUCACAGUCAAGGCAAUGUGUCUUUCUGGGCUGAUUAGGGAAGGUGUCAGGGACCUCACAGCCGAGACUGACAAGCCAGGGUUUCUCCUCUCACUCUGCUGUUUUUCACUAAUUGCACCUCUCCCUAAUUAAAAAUCAGUGAUGUGGCUUUGGCAGCUGCAAGUCAGAUCCCCCAGGCGAGCCCGGGGCAGAGGUUGGGAGGUGGAGAAGGAUGGAGCCAUCCCUGGAGCCUGGUACAUUCCCUGCCGUGGCUGCAGAGGAGCCAAACAUCCAGGAGG
rnacentral:lncRNA from 1 species